AGAUGAGCGGUCGUUGCGUUCCAAAACUUCAUCCAGUCCGGAAGUGUGAUGCCAAGAAGCCUGUUGCGAAGAGGAAUGUCAAGGCCAAGCGCACAGCCGCAUAUGAAGGGAAAAAACGGAUUCAUUGUUGGCGAAUAUCAAAACAAGAAGAUUAAUUCAAGCACACACUAUCCAUUUUCAUUGUAUAUUAACUCAGUCGAAUAAGAUUUUUUAUAUGUAUUUGAAAUCUUAUUCGGUUCACACUGAUUAUCAAUUUGGUUCUACUAAACUUCAAUUGGUUUGAAUUGUUUA